rnacentral:rRNA from 1 species
GUUCAAGGAAAUAAGAGCU